UACAGAGGGUGCGAGCGUUGUCCGGAAUCACUGGGCGUAAAGAGCGUGUAGGCGGCCCGGUAAGUCCGCUGUGAAAGUCCAGGGCUCAACCCUGGGAUGCCGGUGGAUACUGUCGGGCUCGAGUCCGGAAGAGGAGUGUGGAAUUCCUGGUGUAGCGGUGAAAUGCGCAGAGAUCGGGAGGAACACCAGUGGCGAAGGCGGCUACCUGGACCAGCACUGACACUGAGGCACGAAAGCGUGGGGAGCAAACAGG
rnacentral:rRNA from 1 species